rnacentral:rRNA from 1 species
GUGUCAGCCGCCGCGGUAAAACGUAGGUGGCAAGCGUUAUCCGGAUUUACUGGGCGUAAAGGGUGUGCAGGCGGGGUAGCAAGUGGUGUAUGAAAUCUCCAGGCUUAACCUGGAGGGGUUAUGCCAGACUGCUGCUCUAGAGGACGAGAGAGGGGGGUGGAAUUCCGGGUGUAGUGGUGAAAUGCGUAGAGAUCCGGAGGAACCCCAGAGGCGAAGGCGGCCCCCUGGCUCGUACCUGACGCUCAGCCACGAAAGCAUGGGGAGCGAACGGGAUUAGAAACCCGAGUAGUCC